rnacentral:rRNA from 1 species
ACGCGUAUGCAAUCCUACCUUUUACAGAGGGAUAGCCCAGAGAAAUUUGGAUUAAUACCUCAAGUAUAGUGAGUUGGCAUCAACACACUAUUAAAGUCACAACGGUAAAAGAUGAGCAUGCGUCCCAUUAGCUAGUUGGUAAGGUAACGGCUUACCAAGGCAACGAUGGGUAGGGGUCCUGAGAGGGAGAUCCCCCACACUGGUACUGAGACACGGACCAGACUCCUACGGGAGGCAGCAGUGAGGAAUAUUGGUCAAUGGGCGCAAGCCUGAACCAGCCAUGCCGCGUGCAGGAUGACGGUCCUAUGGAUUGUAAACUGCUUUUGCACAGGAAGAAACACUCGGUCGUGACCGAGCUUGACGGUACUGUGAGAAUAAGGAUCGGCUAACUCCGUGCCAGCAGCCGCGGUAAUACGGAGGAUCCAAGCGUUAUCCGGAAUCAUUGGGUUUAAAGGGUCCGUAGGCGGCCAGAUAAGUCAGUGGUGAAAGCCCAUCGCUCAACGAUGGAACGGCCAUUGAUACUGUUUGGCUUGAAUUAUUUGGAAGUAACUAGAAUAUGUAGUGUAGCGGUGAAAUGCUUAGAGAUUACAUGGAAUACCAAUUGCGAAGGCAGGUUACUACAAAUUGAUUGACGCUGAUGGACGAAAGCGUGGGUAGCGAACAGGAUUAGAUACCCUGGUAGUCCACGCCGUAAACGAUGGAUACUAGCUGUUGGGAGCAAUCUCAGUGGCUAAGCGAAAGUGAUAAGUAUCCCACCUGGGGGAGUACGUUCGCAAGAAUGAAACUCAAAGGAAUUGACGGGGGCCCGCACAAGCGGUGGAGCAUGUGGUUUAAUUCGAUGAUACGCGAGGAACCUUACCAAGGCUUAAAUGUAGAUUGACCGGUUUGGAAACAGACUUUUCGCAAGACAAUUUACAAGGUGCUGCAUGGUUGUCGUCAGCUCGUGCCGUGAGGUGUCAGGUUAAGUCCUAUAACGAGCGCAACCCCUGUUGUUAGUUGCCAGCGAGUCAUGUCGGGAACUCUAGCAAGACUGCCAGUGUAAACUGUGAGGAAGGUGGGGAUGACGUCAAAUCAUCACGGCCCUUACGCCUUGGGCUACACACGUGCUACAAUGGCCGGUACAGAGAGCAGCCACUAC